rnacentral:rRNA from 1 species
AUACGUAGGGGACGAGCGUUGUCCGGAAUUACUGGGCGUAAAGGGCGCGCAGGCGGUAUAUCAAGUCAGCUGUCAAAGACUGGGGCUCAACCCUGGUAUGCGGUUGAAACUGAUAUGCUGGAGUGCUGUAGAGGCAAGUGGAAUUCCCAGUGUAGCGGUGAAAUGCGUAGAUAUUGGGAAGAACACCGGUGGCGAAGGCGACUUGCUGGGCAGCAAAUGACGCUCAUGCACGAAAGUGCGGGGAUCGAACAGGAUUAGAUACCCUGGUAGUCCGCACAGUAAACGAUGAAUACUUGUUUUCGGCGAUAUAAUGUCGGAGGCAAAGCGAAAGCGAUAAGUAUUCCACCUGGGGAGUACGCCGGCAACGGUGAAACUCAAAGGAAUUGACGGGG